AAAGAAACCAGAGCGCGGGGCCCCAGAUCUGUCUGUCCUCAAAGCCUGUUCUGGCCGCUGUUCAUCACACCAGCUACAGUUUUGUCAAGUCCUACAUGAGAAACCAGGCUCAGAGAGGUGCCCAAGAUCUUGCCCAAGAUCACACAGCAAGUAAAUGGUAGACCUGGCAUUCAAAUCCAGAGCCUAUCAUUUGGAUUUGCAGAUGAUCUUUGACAGGCUUGCUUUUGGAAGAUAACCCUUCAAUUUGUGCCAUCACUUUGGGACAUGGACAUAUCCUGGUGGGAAUGAAAAAUGGAGAGAUCCUGGAAAUUGAUAAGAAUGGCCCAAUGA